UUUGAAUUUACGAACUAAGUGAAAAGGCUUAGGAAAGAUAAAAGACGAGAAGACCCUAAGAGUUUAGAGUAUAUUUUGUUGGGGCGACAAAAGGUCAGAAUAACACCUUUAUUUUUGAUAAGACGGAUUUUUCAUGUCUAGAUAAACUACCUUAGGGAUAACAGCAUAAUCUUUUUAGGUUUGUGACCUCGAUGUUGGACUAGGAAGCCCUUAGGCUAGCUGCUUAAGAAGGGGAUUCUGUUCGAAUUUUUACUCCUACGUGAUCU
rnacentral:rRNA from 1 species